rnacentral:misc_RNA from 1 species
GAUGAAGAACGUAGCGAAAUGCGAUAAGUAAUGUGAAUUGCAGAAUUCAGUGAAUCAUCGAAUCUUUGAACGCACAUUGCGCCCGUCAGUAUUCUGGCGGGCAUGCCUGUUCGAGCGUCAUUACGCCCCUCAAGUCCCCUGUGGACUUGGUGUUGGGGAUCGGCGAGGCUGGUUUUCCAGCACAGCCGUCCCUUAAAUUAAUUGGCGGUCUCGCCGUGGCCCUCCUCUGCGCAGUAGUAAAACACUCGCAACAGGAGCCCGGCGCGGUCCACUGCCGUAAAACCCCCCAACUUUUUAUAGUUGACCUCGAAUCAGGUAGGACUACCCGCUGAACUUAAGCAUAUUCAAUAAGCGGAGGA